GACGAACGCUGGCGGCGUGCUUAACACAUGCAAGUCGAACGGAAAGGCCCUGCUUUUGUGGGGUGCUCGAGUGGCGAACGGGUGAGUAACACGUGAGUAACCUGCCCUUGACUUUGGGAUAACUUCAGGAAACUGGGGCUAAUACCGGAUAGGAGCUCCUGCUGCAUGGUGGGGGUUGGAAAGUUUCGGCGGUUGGGGGAUGGACUCGCGGCUUAUCAGCUUGUUGGUGGGGUAGUGGCUUACCAAGGCUUUGACGGGUAGCCGGCCUGAGAGGGUGACCGGCCACAUUGGGACUGAGAUACGGCCCAGACUCCUACGGGAGGCAGCAGUGGGGAAUAUUGCACAAUGGGCGGAAGCCUGAUGCAGCAACGCCGCGUGCGGGAUGACGGCCUUCGGGUCGUAAACCGCUUUCGCCUGUGACGAAGCGUGAGUGACGGUAAUGGGUAAAGAAGCACCGGCUAACUACGUG
rnacentral:rRNA from 1 species